rnacentral:rRNA from 1 species
CAGUCGAACGGCAGCACAGAGGAGCUUGCUCCUUGGGUGGCGAGUGGCGGACGGGUGAGGAAUACAUCGGAAUCUACUCUGUCGUGGGGGAUAACGUAGGGAAACUUACGCUAAUACCGCAUACGACCUACGGGUGAAAGCAGGGGAUCUUCGGACCUUGCGCGAUUGAAUGAGCCGAUGUCGGAUUAGCUAGUUGGCGGGGUAAAGGCCCACCAAGGCGACGAUCCGUAGCUGGU